AAAAGUAAAGGCCGAACUUCAACGCAUGGAGGAGCACAACGUCAUAACCAAGGAGCAAGUUCGCUACUUGGGACACGUUUUCACCACGCAAGGACUGAGCCUGGGACCCGAUCGCGUCCAAGCCAUUUUGGACAUGCCAGCGCCAAGUAACAGUAAGGAAUUGAAGUCUUCCUCGGAACGAUGAAUUACGUGCAGCGCUUCAUUCCUCGAAUGUCUGUACUCACCGCACCACUUAGAACAUUGCUGCGCAAAGAUAUUGCCUGGGUCUGGACAGAAAAAGAGCAAUGCAGCUUCAAUGAGCUGCGCCAAGCCUUAGUAACAGCGCCAGUGCUUGCUUACUUCGAUCCGAAAAAGCCAGUCACCCUCUCUGUUGACGCCAGCCACAUGGGCGUUGGCGCCGUUCUGAUACAAGACGGCCGCCCUAUCGCUUUCUCGUCUAGAUCGCUCAGCGAUGCUCAAACGAGGUACGCGCAGAUCGAAAAGGAAGCUCUGGCGAUUGUGCAUGGCUGCGAAAA